UCCAUAUCAAAUACCACUUUUCUUUCUUAUCUUCGCUACCUUCUCUCUCUUUUAUCUUACAACAGAGACUGAAACCCUAAUAUAUUCUUUUUCAUCUGCUAAAGACUAAAACCCUUAAAUAGAUCCCCUUCUUGCUGUUUCUUCCCUUUCUCUGGAAACCCUUAAAUGCAUCGCCGUUUUAUUCUUCAUUCGAUUCGAUUUACUAUCAAUUCUGUUUACACCUUCAUUGUUGCUCUGGUUCCCCGAUUUGAGACCCUAACGGCGACGCAGUGUUGACCAAUUAGGGUUUUGGUUAUCAUCUUCUCAUUGUCGUCGCGAUCAAGGUUAACAUCUUCUGCUACAGGUGGUUUUUCAUCUUUUUUUGAUAUUACAGAAUUCAUGGGAUCCCUAAGAUUUGUGUUCGAGUUUUACCUUUCGUGACGCAUAAUAUGCUCUGCAGAGUUGUGUUUGAGUUUUACCUUUUGCGACACAUACAAUAAUAUUUAUAGAGAAUAAGGUAACAAUGUCCAUAGAUAGCACCGAGAAGGCGAGAACCUACCAUAAAUGGGACCCAACAUCAACCAAACCAGAAGUGAUUGUCCUUAUUUCCUCGUUGUUGUAUGUGAUAUCUGUAAGAUGGUGAAAAUACUGAAUUCCUAUUAUUGAUAUGUUGGGGUUACAAUAUAUAGAGAUCAUAAGGAACCCUAGAAACCCAACCAAGCCCAUGGGCUUAUACUAAUAAACCCUAGUCUAAUAAUACAAUCCAAUAAUAUCCCUGUCUAUGCAUGGUA